AGAUGCAGAAACUUUUGACAUAUGAAUUCAUCUUGACUAAGGAACUCUUCACAGCACUGCACCUGAACAGUCACAACCUCACAGAGCUGCACAACUGCCCCACUCAAGAUCAGUGUUGAAGCUGGAACCUCAUAUUUUGUACAGCAAAGGCAGAGCUGAAAAUUCACUGUUUGUCUUGUAUUGUGUGUGGCAAAACCUGGAAUAACACAUGGGAGCCCUCCAGGAAUUGGACACUUUACGCCCAAGUCUCCUCAUGCUAACCGGAUUGCAAUAUGACAGUCUAGUCAGCAUAAACACCUGGACUCGCCAAGCACACUUUGG